GGGGUACACGAGCGGCGAACGGGUGAGUAACACGUGGGUGAUCUGCCUCGCACUCUGGGAUAAGCCUGGGAAACCGGGUCUAAUACCGGAUACGACCUUCCGGCUGCAAUCCGGCUGGUUGGUGGAAAGAUUUAUCGGUGUGAGAUGGGCCCGCGGCCCUAUCAGCUUGUUGGUUGGGGUAAUGGCCUACCAAGGCGACGACGGGUAGCCGGCCUGAGAGGGCGACCGGCCACACUGGGACUGAGACACGGCCCAGACUCCUACGGGAGGCAGCAGGUGGGGAAUAUUGCACAAUGGGCGGAAGCCUGAUGCAGCGACGCCGCGUGAGGGAUGACGGCCUUCGGGUUGUAAACCUCUUUCGACUCCGACGAAGCGUAAGUGACGGUAGGGGUAAGAAGAAGCACCGGCCAACUACGUGCCAGCAGCCGCGGUAAUACGUAGGGUGGCGAGCGUUGUCCGGAAUUACUGGGCGUAAAGAGCUUGUAGGCGGUUUGUCGCGUCGUCUGUGAAAACUCACAGCUCAACUGUGAGCUUGCAGGCGAUACGGGCAGACUUGGGUACUGCAGGGGAGACUGGAAUUCCUGGUGUAGCGGUGGAAUGCGCAGAUAUCAGGAGGAACACCGGUGGCGAAGGCGGGUCUCUGGGCAGUAACUGACGCUGAGAAGCGAAAGCGUGGGUAGCGAACAGGAUUAGAUACCCUGGUAGUCCACGCCGUUAAACGGUGGGCGCUAGGUGUGGGUUUCCUUCCACGGGAUCCGUGCCGUAGCUAACGCAUUAAGCGCCCCGCCUGGGGGAGUACGGCCAGCAAGGCUAAAACUCAAAGGAAUUGACGGGGGAACCCGCACAAGCGGCGGAGCAUGUGGAUUAWUUCGAUGCAACGGGAAGAACCUUACCUGGGUUUGACAUACACCGGUAACCUGCAGAGAUGCAGGCCYCCUUUGUGGYCGGUGUACAGGUGGUGCAUGGCUGUCGUCAGCUCGUUGUCGUGAGAUGUUGGGUUAAGUCCCGCAACGAGCGCAACCCUUGUCCUGUGUUGCCAGCGCGUAAUGGCGGGGACUCGCAGGAGACUGCCGGGGUCAACUCGGAGGAAGGUGGGGACGACGUCAAGUCAUCAUGCCCCUUAUGUCCAGGGCUUCACACAUGCUACAAUGGCCGGUACAGAGGGCUGCGAUACCGUGAGGUGGAGCGAAUCCCUUAAAGCCGGUCUCAGUUCGGAUCGGGGUCUGCAACUCGAACCCCGUGAAGUUGGAGUCGCUAGUAAUCGCAGAUCAGCAACGCUGCGGUGAAUACGUUCCCGGGCCUUGUACACACCGCCCGUCACGUCAUGAAAGUCGGUAACACCCGAAGCCGGUGG
rnacentral:rRNA from 1 species